rnacentral:rRNA from 1 species
GCAUCGAUGAAGAACGGAGCGAAUUACGAUAUGUAAUGUGAAUUGCAGAAUUCAGUGAAUCAUCGAAUCUUUGAACGCACCUUGCGCUCUUUGGUAUUCCGAAGAGCAUGCCUGGUUGAGUGGCAU